GUGGGGAAUAUUGGGCAAUGGGGGAAACCCUGACCCAGCAACGCCGCGUGAGGGAAGAAGGUUUUCGGAUUGUAAACCUCUGUCCUUGGUGACGAAGGAAGUGACGGUAGCCAAGGAGGAAGCCCCGGCUAACUACGUGCCCGCAGCCGCGGUAAUACGUAGGGGGCAAGCGUUGUCCGGAAUGACUGGGCGUAAAGGGCGUGUAGGCGGCCGGUUAAGUCUGGAGUGAAAGUCCUGCUUUCAAGGUGGGAAUUGCUUUGGAGACUGGUUGGCUUGAGUGCGGAAGAGGUAAGUGGAAUUCCCAGUGUAGCGGUGAAAUGCGUAGAGAUUGGGAGGAACACCAGUGGCGAAGGCGACUUACUGGGCCGUAACUGACGCUGAGGCGCGAAAGCGUGGGGAGCGAACAGGAUUAGAUACCCGAGUAGUCC
rnacentral:rRNA from 1 species